AGCAGCUAUUUGACAUGUGAUUGCAGGGUGACAUAUCAAAAGGGCUGCUGUGCAAAGGUCUUAUUACACCUGUGGUUUUCCUUUUAUAAUCAGUCAACAUGUCUGCUGUGAAAAGGCGUCUACUUUUGGGAAUGAAAGCAGCUUGGCUGUUCUGAUGGAAAGCUUCAAGCAACCCAGUAUUCUCCCAAAGCUGCUGAUGGAUUUUGUCUCUCAAUACUGCUUUAAACUGCCAAACAAGAGAAAAUGCCACCGCCGCAAAAGCUGUUCUGGAGGCUUCUCUAAAGCCUCUGACCUACUUCAAGCACUUAGUAUGAUGGAGGAAAAAGACACUGCUGGUGUGCAAAAUUCAGGCAAUGACAGAAGAAGAGGGAUACCGACUCGUCUUUAUAAGCGAUGCCUGAGGCUGGAAAAGGGAAGCUGAUGUUAUGGCACAGCUCACACAAUUUUAGACGAAGCUUCUGUUAAU